rnacentral:rRNA from 1 species
CAGUCGCCGCGGUAAUACGAAGGGGGCUAGCGUUGUUCGGAUUUACUGGGCGUAAAGGGCGCGCAGGCGGACUGAUAAGUCAGGGGUGAAAUCCCCGGGCUUAACCUGGGAACUGCGCUUGUGACUGCACAGCUAGAGUAUGGCAGAGGGGGGUGGAAUUCCACGUGUAGCAGUGAAGUGCGUAGAGAUGUGGAGGAACACCGAUGGCGAAGGCAGCCCCCUGGGCCAAUACUGACGCUCAUGCACGAAAGCGUGGGGAGCAAACAGGAUUAGAUACCCGCGUAGUCCCUGUCUCUUAUAC